rnacentral:rRNA from 1 species
AUUGAACGCUGGCGGCAGGCCUAACACAUGCAAGUCGAGCGAGCGGCGGACGGGUGAGUAAUGUCUGGGAACCUGCCUGAUGGAGGGGGAUAACUACUGUAAACGGUAUCUAAUACCGCAUACCAUCAGAUUUGCCCAGUUGGUAUUAGCUAGUAGGUGGGGUAACGGCUCACCUAGGCGACGAUCCCUAGCUGGUCUGAGAGGAUGACCAGCCAAACGGGAACUGAGACACGGUCCAGACUCCUACGGGAGGCAGCAGUGGGGAAUAUUGCACAAUGGGCGAAAGCCUGAUGGAGCAAUGCCGCGUGAGUGAAGAAGGCCGUCGGGUUGUAAAGCACUUUCAGCAGGGAAGCGUUACCCAACGAAGAAGCACCGGCUAACUACGUGCCAGCAGCCGCGGUAAUAC